GGUAACCUGAUUACUUUUGUCAGAGGAAGAAAAAAGUGGUUGAGUGGAGGCGCUGCUCCGACGAAUUCGCGUCGACGACGCUGUUACGUUCGCCAGACAAGAGGGAUUGGCUGGCAUCCAUCCCCGUGUUCGUAUGUUUCGGGAACCGUACCUGGACCCAGCAGACACACACACUGUCCAAAAGGCGGUGGCUGCAAACACCGCCUUGAUUCGUCGGUUUUCUUCCCAUCGACGGCAUAAGUAGCGCGUUUCCGCGCGGCUUGCGGCCAGUUCCUGUUCGACCAUCGUCAUACGACUGUAGCGGCAAAGCGCGGGCGUAUGUGGAAUCUUCCAACACACAUGCACGCGCAAAGAUAUAUGCACGAUGGCGUUUACACGCGCGCGUACGCGAAAGCUGUGCAUGUGUACCGUACCUCUCUCUGCAUCAUGUGGCACGUAUGUACACGGUGCCUUCGCCGAGUAUCGGUCACGUUAGAUCGGGAAUGGCCUCCUCCGUGUGUGUGUGUAUGUGCGUGCGUGCGCACUUCCUACGCGCGUGUGGUUGUGUAUCCCGUGGACAGUAAACGCCGCGGGAAUUCGUGGUGUGCAAUCGGCCAAUGACAGGCCAAAUAGCAACGGCUGUGCGCCAAUCAGCGAACAGAAAUGUUCGCGAAUGCGCGCCACAGUUGCCACCGGAUGUCGAUCAUAGCCAGUAGUGGGGAUAAACUGAGAGUGCGGCACGGGCUACGCGCUCGAGCGCAUCCUCGUUCGUCGCUGCUCGCCGUCGGAGUCGGUCGCGUUUAACGCUCGAGUCUUCUCUUUCUCUCACACUCCCUCUCUCUCUCUCUCUGUCUCUGGCAGUUUUCCGAAUCCGAAGAUAAAGGAGGAGAAAACCUCUCUCCGUUGUUCGCUUCGACCACGUUCUCCACGACGACGACCGAUGGUCCUCCGUCACUUUGGACAUCCGAAAUCGUCACGGUCGUCUCUGUGCCUGUUACCUCGCCGCUCUUGGACCUCUGCGAUUUUUUCAUGCAUCAUCGUCGUGCCGCGCAUCGUCCGAUUCGUUUGAUUUUCACGUUGUGCCGUGGUUGCCGUGCUCUGCGAACUGCGUUCUACUUGCAAAACCAAAGGCCCGUACCUGUAACUAGCAACCAAAUGAUGGACAGUGGAGCCUCGGACCGUCACUGUGCACCGUUUCUUGUUACCGCUUUUUGCCAUUUAUCCGCAAGUGUUCCGCGAAGAUUUCACACGUUUUUGAUACAGUCCGUGAUUGUCCCGCGCAGAGAAACAAAUUUUUUUUCUUUUUUUGUUUCGUUGGACUCCAAGUAAGGAAAGGACAUGCACGAUUCUCUUCGCGUGCAAUGAGAGAAAAAAAAACUGUAUACGGUAUUUCCAGUGGGUUAAGUUCGUUUGAAAAGGACAGUACUUGUACUAUGAUUUUGUUGACACGUUUCACGGUAUAGAGAAAAGUCGAUGGAUAAAAACGAGAAGUUUGGAAAGUUUUACCACUCCUUAGGAAGAAUGGACAGGUAGGAGACGAUGAUGGAAUUGAGAUAUGCCGUGCGCGCACGUACAUGUAAGGAGGAAAGGGAAGUGGGACUGGCUUGCCUUGUGCCACUUUAUACGUACGUACCGCUAUCGAGAUCGUAGUCUCGAUAUUCUGUACCGAUCUUGUAAUAUUACCAGAUUCGUUUCUUCCCUCGAUAUCGCUGACAUUGGUUUCGCUUGUUAUCGCUGUCGAACCAAGCGUGCCCCCAAGUUGCAAAUCUCUAGAUCAUUGAAUUUUUUUUCCUUUUUUGCGAAAAAGAAACUUUUUGGUAGUAUUGAAAUUUUUGUAUACAGAAUGUUUUUAGCGUGAUCGGUUCGCUUUAAUAAUCGCGACGAAACGAAAUAAUUUUAUCGAAGACAUUGGGACGUGUGUGCUUUCGGAAGGCGUAAGUAUCGGUUGAAAUCUGUGCAAGAGAGAAAAAAGAAGAGCGAGCGACGGGUGGACACAACAACCGCCAUUUUAUAGAAACCACCGCAUUGCGGCCAUCUUUUGUAUAGUAACCGAACCGUUUCCAUUUCCAUUUGGGAUUGCUUGAUUGGCUCGAAUUCCGUUCCACGCGCUGUCUAAUUUUACACGGUGUCCUCGAAUCCGCCUCGCCAUGGCUCAUCGUGUGCUUGCUACCUGAGUCCGAGAAAACGCGUUUCCUAUCAAAAUCGCUCGCAACCUUUUUGCCGGCUUUCUGCUGAAAUUCCCCGGAAUUUCCAACUCGGAAAUGUCAACCUCGUAGCCAUAAACGAAUGGUCGCCAGCUAUUGAAUUUGUAUGCACCACGUGCGUGAAUGUGUGUGUGUACAUAUGUGUGUAAUUGCUUUGUUUACACAGAUACGUGUGCGUAAAUUUGUAACAAAUUGUAAGCAAUAAAAUUUAUACGAUAGGUGAAGCGAAAUGUGCUACGCAUGUGCAUGUGAGAAUGAUGCACAACCGUUUUAUUGUAACGAGGCUGAAAUUGAAAAUAAACGUACAAUUACGAAA